UACGGGGGGGGUAAGCGUUGUUCGGAAUUACUGGGCGUAAAGGGCUCGUAGGCGGUCAACUAAGUCGGACGUGAAAUCCCUCGGCUUAACCGGGGAACUGCGUCCGAUACUGGAUGGCUUGAGUUCGGGAGAGGGAUGCGGAAUUCCAGGUGUAGCGGUGAAAUGCGUAGAUAUCUGGAGGAACACCGGUGGCGAAGGCGGCAUCCUGGACCGACACUGACGCUGAGGAGCGAAAGCCAGGGGAGCAAACGGG
rnacentral:rRNA from 1 species